GACGAACGCUGGCGGCGUGCUUAACACAUGCAAGUCGAACGGAAAGGCCCUGCUUUUGUGGGGUGCUCGAGUGGCGAACGGGUGAGUAACACGUGAGUAACCUGCCCUUGACUUUGGGAUAACUUCAGGAAACUGGGGCUAAUACCGGAUAGGAGCUCCUGCUGCAUGGUGGGGGUUGGAAAGUUUCGGCGGUUGGGGAUGGACUCGCGGCUUAUCAGCUUGUUGGUGGGGUAGUGGCUUACCAAGGCUUUGACGGGUAGCCGGCCUGAGAGGGUGACCGGCCACAUUGGGACUGGGAUACGGCCCAGACUCCUACGGGAGGCAGCAGGGGGGAAUAUUGCCCAAUGGGCGGAAGCCUGAUGCAGCAACGCCGCGUGCGGGAUGACGGCCUUCGGGUUGUAAACCGCUUUCGCCUGUGACGAAGCGUGAGUGACGGUAAUGGGUAAAGAAGCACCGGCUAACUACGUG
rnacentral:rRNA from 1 species